GACGAACGCUGGCGGCGUGCUUAACACAUGCAAGUCGAACGGAAAGGCCCUGCUUUUGUGGGGUGCUCGAGUGGCGAACGGGUGAGUAACACGUGAGUAACCUGCCCUUGACUUUGGGAUAACUUCAGGAAACUGGGGCUAAUACCGGAUAGGAGCUCCUGCUGCAUGGUGGGGGUUGGAAAGUUUCGGCGGUUGGGGAUGGACUCGCGGCUUAUCAGCUUGUUGGUGGGGUAGUGGCUUACCAAGGCUUUGACGGGUAGCCGGCCUGGGAGGGUGACCGGCCACAUUGGGACUGAGAUACGGCCCAGACUCCUACGGGAGGCAGCAGUGGGGAAUAUUGCACAAUGGUCGGAAGCCUGAUGCAGCAACGCCGCGUGCGGGAUGACGGCCUUCGGGUUGUAAACCGCUUUCGCCUGUGACGAAGCGUUAGUGACGGUAAUGGGUAAAGAAGCACCGGCUAACUGCGUG
rnacentral:rRNA from 1 species